rnacentral:rRNA from 1 species
AGAGUUUGAUCAUGGCUCAGAACGUACGCUGGCGGCACGCCUAACACAUGCAAGUCGAACGCAGUAGCAAUACUGAGUGGCAGACGGGUGAGUAACAUGUGGGAAUCUGCCUUGUGGUUCAGGACAACAUUGGGAAACCGAUGCUAAUACUGGAUAAGCCCUUACGGGGAAAGUUUUAAUGCCAUAAGAUGAGCCCGCAUUUGAUUAGUUAGUUGGUGAGGUAAUGGCUCACCAAGACAAUGAUCAAUAGCUGAUCUGAGAGGAUGAUCAGCCACACUGGGACUGAGACACGGCCCAGACUCCUACGGGAGGCAGCAGUGGGGAAUCUUGCACAAUGGAGGAAACUCUGAUGCAGCGAUGCCGCGUGAGUGAAGAAGGCCUUUGGGUUGUAAAGCUCUUUUGUAGGGGAAGAUAAUGACUGUACCCUAAGAAUAAGGUCCGGCUAACUUCGUGCCAGCAGCCGCGGUAAUACGAAGGGACCUAGCGUAGUUCGGAAUUACUGGGCGUAAAGCGCGCGUAGGCCGUUGAGUUAGUUAAUUGUGAAAUCCCAAAGCUUAACUUUGGAACUGCAAUUAAAACUGCUCGACUAGAGUUUGAUAGAGGAAAGCGGAAUACAUAGUGUAGAGGUGAAAUUCGUAGAUAUUAUGUAGAACACCAGUUGCGAAGGCGGCUUUCUGGGUCAACACUGACGCUGAGGCGCGAAAGUAUGGGUAGCAAAGAGGAUUAGAUACCCUCGUAGUCCAUACCAUAAACGAUGAUUGCUAGAUGUUGGAAAUUUAUUUUCAGUAUCGCAGCUAACGCAUUAAGCAAUCCGCCUGGGGAGUACGACCGCAAGGUUAAAACUCAAAUGAAUUGACGGGGACCCGCACAAGCGGUGGAGCAUGUGGUUUAAUUCGAAGAUACGCGCAGAACCUUACCAACCCUUGACAUGUCUGUCGCGAGUUUAGGAAACUAGACUUUUCG